CCUACGGGCGGCUGCAGUGAGGAAUAUUGGUCAAUGGACGAAAGUCUGAACCAGCCAUGCCGCGUGCAGGAAGACGGCUCUAUGAGUUGUAAACUGCUUUUGUACAAGGGUAAACCUGAAUACGUGUAUUCAGCUGAAAGUACUUUACGAAUAAGGAUCGGCUAACUCCGUGCCAGCAGCCGCGGUAAUCCGGAGGAUCCAAGCGUUAUCCGGAUUUAUUGGGUUUAAAGGGUGCGUAGGCGGAUUGUUAAGUUAGAGGUGAAAUGUUCGAGCUUAACUCGGGAACUGCCUCUAAUACUGUUGAUCUAGAGUGUAGAUGCGGUAGGCGGAAUGUAUGGUGUAGCGGUGAAAUGCUUAGAGAUCAGACAGAACACCGAUUGCGAAGGCAGCUUACUAAUCUAUAUCUGACGUUGAGGCACGAAAGCGUGGGGAGCAAACAGGAUUAGAUACCCUUGUAGUC
rnacentral:rRNA from 1 species